rnacentral:rRNA from 1 species
UGGGGAAUUUUGGACAAUGGGCGAAAGCCUGAUCCAGCAAUGCCGCGUGUGUGAAGAAGGCCUUCGGGUUGUAAAGCACUUUUGUCCGGAAAGAAAUCCUUGGCUCUAAUACAGUCGGGGGGAUGACGGUACCGGAAGAAUAAGCACCGGCUAACUACGUGCCAGCAGCCGCGGUAAUACGUAGGGUGCAAGCGUUAAUCGGAAUUACUGGGCGUAAAGCGUGCGCAGGCGAUUUGCUAAGACCGAUGUGAAAUCCCCGGGCUCAACCUGGGAACUGCAUUGGUGACUGGCAGGCUAGAGUAUGGCAGAGGGGGGUAGAAUUCCACGUGUAGCAGUGAAAUGCGUAGAGAUGUGGAGGAAUACCGAUGGCGAAGGCAGCCCCCCUGGGCCAAUACUGACGCUCAUGCACGAAAGCGUGGGGAGCAAACAGGAUUAGAUACCCUGGUAGUCCACGCCCUAAACGAUGUCAACUGGUUGUUGGGGAUUCAUUUCCUUAGUAACGUAGCUAACGCGUGAAGUUGACCGCCUGGGGAGUACGGUCGCAAGAUUAAAAACUUAAAGGAAUUGACGGGGUCAUAGCUGUUUCCU